rnacentral:lncRNA from 1 species
UUACAUUCUACCAGAGGAUUACGGUAAGCUUGUCAGUCAGUGCCCAGAGGCAGUCAACACAGUGCAGUUGUGCCAGAAGCCAUCAAAUCUUUUUUGAAAUCCGGUUCAGCAGCUGUCCUUUCAAACAAAGAAGACUUCAACAAAUCAUACUGUAGACUAAAGAAAAAGAAGGAAAAUUGUAUGAUUGAGGAAGGAAAUACUAAUCCUUCAAAGUAUA